GUGUGGUGGCAGACACCUGUAAUCCCAGCUACUCAGGAGGCUGAGGCAGGAGAAUCACUUGAAUACUGGAGGCAGAGGUUGCAGUGAGCCGAGAUUGUGCCACUGCACUCCAGCCUGGGCAACAAGAACAAAACUCCCUCUCAAAAACAAAAACAAAAAAGAAAGCCUUAGCCACAUGUUGUAUUUGCAAUGUGUCAACUAAGCCAAGUUGGAAACACAUGUCCCAGAAUUCCUUCCCUGCUUAGUUCUGGGUUAGCAAGGACCAAUGACCUUGUGGAGAUUUGAGAGGUGGAAACAAUGUAGCAGCCACAUUUUUUUUUCUAAUUUUAGAGACAAGGUCUCACUCUGUUGCCCAGGCUGGAGUGCAGUGGCGUGAUCAUAGCUCACUGAAGCCUACGACUCAUGGCUUCAAGUAUCCUCUCACCUCAGCCUCUCAAGUAGCUGGGACUAUAGGCAUGCACCACCAUGUGUAGCUAAUUAAUUUGUGUGUGUGUGUGUGGUAGUGAUGGGGUCUCACUAUGUUGCCCAGGCUGGUCUUGAACUCCUGGCCUCAAGCAAUCCUCCUGCCUCAGCCUCUCAAAGUGCUGGGAUUACAGGUGUGAGCCACCAUCCCUGGCCCCUAAAGUGUAUUUUAAAAAGAUGCCUCUGCUUAACACGUUGGCAAGCUUCCCACCAUAGAUUUAUUCCAAAGUAGACUAUGAGGCCCAUGGCUCUGCUGCCAUUUCAGUUCCACCGAAUGUGGGAAUUCUAAGGAAGUACCAACAUCUCCUUCCAUACACCAAGAGCAUCACUCAUCAUACUAGAAAAAGACCUAUUUUAAAAUGGUGCAAGGGCAUCAGGUGACCUGACGGCCAUGGGCAGGCUGCAUCACCAUUCUGGGUCCUCCCCAUAUUCUUGAUUCUCCAAGGUUCCCUCAUCUUUAGAAGACAAAGAAUCCCUGCCUUAUAAACUGUGCUUUAAUUUUUCUAACUAUAGGCUGCAGUUACCCAAACAAGAUGCUGUCAAAAAUCUUAAGAGUUGUAUUUAACGCUGUCUCUUUCUUGCCGUGUAUUAUUAAGGUCACACGUGGAGAUUCUGGGCAAUUACAGAUAGUGCCUUCUCCUCCCACAGAAAUCUCCAUGUCAGACAUGUAGUAGAGAAAAAUCUGAAGGGAAGUACUGAAGGUCUACCAAAACUUUUCAAGCCAUCAGAGAAUGUCCUUUUAUGUACUUUCGUCAGUCACUGUCAUUCAGAUGCAUAAGUAGCCAGCUGAUGGAAAAAAUACACAGCUGGGUUGGGGAAUUCUGAGUUUCAGGAUUUUGACUAACUGGCUCAAAUUCAAUGCGUUUUGUCACCAAUACUGGAGAUAGUCUCCAGCCCCAGAGAAUACAGGCUUCACAUGUACCAUACUAAAAGUGGAGUUCAGUGUGCUGCUAAGGCCAAGUAAGUAUAGACAAAGCCCUUCACUGGCAGUCCUCGUUUUGGAGGUUGUGCAAGCUGCCUCUGAAUUUCUGAGAUCACACAUUUACAGCCAGGAAUCUUCUCUGGCUCAUCCUCAAGAUCCCUAGGGUGAUCAUUAUUUUCUUACAAAAAAAAAGCACGCAAAUAAAGGGAAUUUAUUAUGGUUGAGAUAGGGUCUUGCUCUGUCACCCAGGCUGGAGUGCAGUGGCAUGAUCAUGGCUCACUGCAGCCUCAACCUCCCAGGGCUCAAGUGAUCCUCCCACCUCAGCCUGUAACUGGGCCUAAAGGUGCAUACCAUCAUGUCUGUCUAAUUUUUGUACUUUUUGUAGAGACAGGGUCUUGCCAUGUUGCCCAGGCUGGUCUCGAACUCCUGGGCUCAAGCAACCUGCCCACCUCGGCCUCCCAAAGUGCUGGGGUUAUAAGCAUAAGCAACCGCACCUAGCUAGGAAUUUAUUUCAUUACCAAAUAAUUUAACAGGGAGGAGGGAGAAAUAUAAUUCAAAUCCAGAGAUGAAGCCAAGAAUUCAGAGGGAAUAAAGGGUGCCUAGAACCUGCAUCAACCUGUCUGUAGACCUCAGAGGUCCUACUAAGUACCUUCCAGCACUGUGCCACCUUCUUUUGCAGUGUGAAAAUGAGGAUUUGCAGUAUAUGUGACAUCUCCUUAGGCCUUGAGAGUCUGUGAUGAUGAGUAUUGAUGAUAUAUGCUACUUAAGAAAGAAAAUGCAUGCUCAAUAUGGACCACCACCUUAGAUAGCCUUACUUAUGUUUCAUAUAUUUAUUAAAGGGCACAAUUAAAUUUUAUUUUGCAAGUCGAGCCUACCUUAAAAUCAGCUUAAAAAGGUGAAAUAUCCGCUGGCUAAUGAAAAAACAAAACCUUUUUAUUUUUCCCAUUACUUGGUUCUUUUUAGCAACGAUGCAUUGUUCUGCCACUUUCACCCCAAUGUUGGUUUCAGGUUCACCUUAGAGCAAAGUGUAGGAUGAUACUGUCCAUUGCCGAUUUUCUGAUUUUUUUUUUUUUUUUUUUUUUUUGAGACCAAGUCUCACUGUCACCCAGGCCAGAGUGCAGUGGCACAAUCUUGGCUCACUGCAACUUCCACUUCCCAGGUUCAAGUGAUUCUCCUGCCUCAGCCUCCUGAGUAGCUGGGAUUACAGGUGUGCACCACCACACCUGGCUAAUUUUUGUAUUUUUAGUAGAGACAGGGUUUUACCACAUUGGCCAGGCUGGUCUCAAACUCCUGACCUCAGGUGAUGCACCUGCCUUGGCCUCCCAAAGUGCUGGGAUUACAGGCAUGAGCCACUACGCCUGACCUCUCUGAUGUCUAAUUUCUUCAAGUUGGCCCCCACCAUGGUUUUUUAACCAAUAUAGCUUUCCCUGAAAAUCACUUAAGCAAAACCAAAAACAAUGGGAAGUCACAUUUUUUUUGGAUUUAUUUAAAGAACACACAAAAAAGUGCAUCUAAAUGAUUUUUUUUUUUUAAAAACAAUGUCUU
rnacentral:lncRNA from 1 species